rnacentral:rRNA from 1 species
AUUGAACGCUGGCGGCAUGCCUUACACAUGCAAGUCGAACGGAUCAAGGGGCUUGCUCCUUGGUUAGUGGCGAACGGGUGAGUAAUGCAUCGGAACGUACCCAAUCGUGGGGGAUAACGUAGCGAAAGUUACGCUAAUACCGCAUAAGUCCUGAGGAGAAAGCAGGGGAUCGCAAGACCUUGCGCGAAUGGAGCGGCCGAUGUCGGAUUAGCUAGUUGGUGAGGUAAAGGCUCACCAAGGCGACGAUCCGUAGCUGGUCUGAGAGGACGACCAGCCACACUGGGACUGAGACACGGCCCAGACUCCUACGGGAGGCAGCAGUGGGGAAUUUUGGACAAUGGGCGAAAGCCUGAUCCAGCCAUGCCGCGUGAGUGAAGAAGGCCUUCGGGUUGUAAAGCUCUUUCGGACAGAAAGAAAUCUUCCGGGCUAAUACCUCGGAAGGAUGACGGUACUGUAAGAAGAAGCACCGGCUAACUACGUGCCAGCCGCCGCAGUAACAC